rnacentral:rRNA from 1 species
GCGGUAAUACGAAGGGGGCUAGCGUUGUUCGAAAUCACUGGGCGUAAAGCGCACGUAGGCGGAUCUUCAAGUCAGGGGUGAAAUCCCGGGGCUCAACCCCGGAACUGCCUUUGAUACUGGCGGUCUGGAGUCCGGGAGAGGUGAGUGGAAUUCCGAGUGUAGAGGUGAAAUUCGUAGAUAUUCGCAGGAACACCAGUGGCGAAGGCGGCUCACUGGCCCGAAACUGACGCUAAGGUGCGAAAGCGUGGGGAGCAACCAGGAUUAGAUCCUCUGUUAGUCCACGCGGUAAACGACGAAGCCCCACCUCGGCCAGCAUGGUCUUCGGUGGCGCACCUAACGCAUUAAGCAUUCCGCCUGGGGAGU